rnacentral:rRNA from 1 species
CCCGAGCGUUGUCCGGAUUUAUUGGGCGUAAAGGGAGCGCAGGCGGUCAGGAAAGUCUGGAGUAAAAGACUAUGGNUCAACCAUAGUGUGCUCUGGAAACUGUCUGACUUGAGUGCAGAAGGGGAGAGUGGAAUUCCAUGUGUAGCGGUGAAAUGCGUAGAUAUAUGGAGGAACACCAGUGGCGAAAGCGGCUCUCUGGUCUGUCACUGACGCUGAGGCUCGAAAGCGUGGGUAGCGAACAGGAUUAGAUACCCUGGUAGUCCACGCCGUAAACGAUGAGUGCUAGGUGUUAGGCCCUUUCCGGGGCUUAGUGCCGGAGCUAACGCAAUAAGCACUCCGCCUGGGGAGUACGACCGCAAGGUUGAAACUCAAAGGAAUUGACGGGGGCCCGCACAAGCGGUGGAGCAUGUGGUUUAAUUCGAAGCAACGCGAAGAACCUUACCAGGUCUUGACAUCCCGAUGCUAUUCUUAGAGAUAGGAAGUUACUUCGGUACAUCGGAGACAGGUGGUGCAUGGUUGACGUCAGCUCGUGUCGUGAGAUGUUGGGUUAAGUCCCGCAACGAGCGCAACCCUUAUUGUUAGUUGCCAUCAUUAAGUUGGGCACUCUAGCGAGACUGCCGGUAAUAAACCGGAGGAAGGUGGGGAUGACGUCAAAUCAUCAUGCCCCUUAUGACCUGGGCUACACACGUGCUACAAUGGUCGGUACAACGAGUUGCGAGCCGGUGACGGCAAGCUAAUCUCUGAAAGCCGAUCUCAGUUCGGAUUGGAGGCUGCAACUCGCCUCCAUGAAGUCGGAAUCGCUAGUAAUCGCGGAUCAGCACGCCGCGGUGAAUACGUUCCCGGGCCUUGUACACACCGCCCGUCACACCACGAGAGUUUGUAACACCCGAAGUCGGUGAGGUANCCUUUUAGGG